rnacentral:rRNA from 1 species
GACGAACGCUGGCGGCGUGCUUAACACAUGCAAGUCGAACGGAAAGGCCCUGCUUUUGUGGGGUGCUCGAGUGGCGAACGGGUGAGUAACACGUGAGUAACCUGCCCUUGACUUUGGGAUAACUUCAGGAAACUGGGGCUAAUACCGGAUAGGAGCUCCUGCUGCAUGGUGGGGGCUGGAAAGUUUCGGCGGUUGGGGAUGGACUCGCGGCUUAUCAGCUUGUUGGUGGGGUAGUGGCUUACCAAGGCUUUGACGGGUAGCCGGCCUGAGAGGGUGACCGGCCACAUUGGGACUGAGAUACGGCCCAGACUCCUACGGGAGGCAGCAGUGGGGAAUAUUGCACAAUGGGCGGAAGCCUGAUGCAGCAACGCCGCGUGCGGGAUGACGGCCUUCGGGUUGUAAACCGCUUUCGCCUGUGACGAAGCGUGAGUGACGGUAAUGGGGAAAGAAGCACCGGCUAACUACGU